CAUAGCUUUUCUUUGAUGGUUUUUAAAUCAUGCUUAUGUUUAUUUCUAGAUUUUCCCUAAUGAAUAGAACAAAGAAAAUUAUUCUCAAAUUGCCGGACUGCGGCAUUUGAUGACAGAAUUUGGUGCUGUCUGUUGAGCACUCCUUAUCCCCUCUGAAGUUUCCUUG
rnacentral:lncRNA from 1 species